ensembl:lncRNA
GGGGGGGACAGCCAUGAGAACGGAGGGAGAGGGUGGAGGAACGCAAGAGGCCCUGCCUGGCAGAAAUAAAGACUUCCUAAGGGCUGCUCUCUGACAACAGAGCCCCAAAGGGAGAGUGAAAAAUGAAGCCUCCACACAUUCGAAGGGGUUUUCACUCACGGAAAGGGGCCGCGAUUGGGGUGAACAUUAGAGAGAGAGGGCAAGAUGGAAAGCAUAAGAGAAUAGGAUUAUAAUAUUUGCUCAGAGCGAAGAGGAACAAUUGUGCGCCUCUUUCACAGUGUCCUUAGAACGGAGCCUGUGUCGAAUCUGAGGUUUUUGAUGCUUCAUGAAAUAUGGAUGCUGUUUAUUUCACCUGCCAACCCUGCCUUCUGCGGUCAGACACCUUCUACUGGCAAAGACUAUUACUGGCCAAAAAGAAGGAAAACUACAGAAAUAAAUCUAGCAGUCGUUUUUGUAGAACAUACAAAUACACAAACCGAUGACAUGGAUGUAAACACAAGAGAGUCCACUCUUUCUUCUCACAAGGAAGCCAACAAACACAUUAUUACCAUACACAAACAAAAUCACACACACCGAGGUGUGGAAAGACCACGCAUACCUCGGCUGGUCAAUGUUUACCUGAAGACCAGAGGGAGCUGUGAAUGCUCACAAGUCGGCUACUUUGCAUGUAUGUGGGAGCCCGCAAAACACUUCUCACUGCUGUCCGUCAUUUUGAUUGCCCAGCAUGACUCCUCUACCCCAAACCUCCCAGCACCCCCACAUUGCAACAUCCCCCCAGCCAGAUGGCUUUUUUUUUUUUUUUUUUUUUUUUUUUUUUUUAACUGUCUGUGGGCUCUUGCACCUCUGCUCUACCACACUAAAUCCCUGAGAUGGCUGGGUGGAGUGGAAGGUUUGGAGCUCUGCGUGGACAAAUGGUUUGGAGGUAGCAGAGCAAAUAAAACGGAUUAAGAGGAGUCUUUUCACAGAUACUUCAAAACUAUUUUGGCGCUGAGCCAUGGAUCCCCCCCACACACACCCACCUUCUCCAACACCCCAACAAUUCUCCCCCUCGACAAAAAUCAGACACCCACAAAGACAUUUCUACAGCAUCCAGGUCUUGUGCAUGGGCUUACAUCACGCAUCAUCAAUAUACUGUUUAAUCUGACAUAAUCUGAUUAAAUGUGAUAUGUAUGAAGCUACAACAAACAUCCAUAUUUGCUCAUUCUGUGCAUUGUAGAUACAGUUCUUCUUAAGAAAGGAUUUUUAAAAGGGUGUUGUUGUUUUUUUUAAUCUAACACACAAUCCAUGCAAAUCAUGUCCCACAGUGCCUACUACAACAUAUGGAACAGCAUGUGAAUUUCAUUUAAUAGCAUGCCAUAAUAGUAUAACAGACAUCUCUCAGGCUCUAAAACUAAACACACUAGUCCUUUUCAUUUCGACAUCAUGGGAAUAACCAUGACAUAUUUCACAAGAACAAAGUGUGAGGAGAUAUAAUAAAGCCAAAACACAUUAUUAUAGUGCAAAAUGACUCAUAACCCUCCAUAUACAGGGACUGUCAUUUUCAUAAGCGCUGUUAAAGAUGACUGACUGACGUUGAUUGAAUGCUUCAAAUUUGCUCAGAGAAGUUUAAACACUUUCCCAUUUUACUAUAUUAACAAAUUUCACUCACUUUAAAACAUUUAAAUGGUAAAGUGCAUUUCAGUCACAGUCAGAACACAGAGCAUCAAUGGAAGGUGAUAUGAAGGAAAUCCAAAUGUCACCUCUUGGCUCGAUCCAGCCAAAGGUUAGAUUCUUGAAUCCCUGCUGUCUCCUAUCAUUAGGUUGCUUAGCAACGGGCUACAGGCUAUAAUUAACUUAGCAAAAUUAAGAUUUCCAUUUUGUUAACACAAAAACACUUAUCUGAAAAGUGUCACAUGUUCACUGAAAGAUUCCAAAGGCAAGCAUUGAAAUAUGAGUGAUGAUUUUUCUUUUUUUUGAAGACUUGGCAUGCUUCGACUGUUGCCAAUGAGUGCAAUGUACAAGUGCAGCUGUUAUAGCAUACUUAAUGAAAAAUCAAAAGAUGGGGCAUGAUGUCACCCUGUGAGCAUCUGUCAAAUGUUAUUCUCAUAUGUUUGCAGCAUACUAAUUUCAGAACUGUCUAACUGUCCCUCAGUCCUUCCAUCUUAUAUAUGAAGCCAAAAAAAAAAAAGCAAAAAGUAAAGAAAUUAAAUCCUGAAGGUCCAUUAAACCUUUUAGUUCUCCCUGCCAUCUCUCCCCAUAUAUCCACCCACAUCUUCAUACAGUCACACACCAGUACAUAGUUGCUUUUAUUGAGUAACUCAUAAAAGGCAGCAAUUUCAAUCAUUGAGCUUUACAAGGCAAAAACAUUAAGAGCAUCAGUGCUAAGACACUAAACUGCUAUUGAACUUGCAUCCUAAUUAUGAUAUACCCAAUAUAUCCACCACUCAUCUCAUCAUAAUUUUCAUCACAAUACCCCACCCAUCAUGGAGACAGACUCCAAGUUACGACUUAAAGCGGAGGCCACCAACACCAGCUCCUGCUGACUUGUUACCAGGCAGCAAGGACAAGGUCACUAGGAUCACUCAGUUAGCAGGUGUGACAAAAGACCCAGCAGGAUUCAGCCCGGCAUCCCCCAACACUGACAGAACAUCAGCCACUACAAGCAGGGGCCCAACUGCUGCCACCAACCUUGGUCUAAUUGAAGCUGUUGAGCACUGCUGUUUAGGUCAGUAUUCAAUAUGUUUAUGUUCAUGUCAGACAAUCUAAAGAUGUCCACAUGUGACAUGCUCAACACGAUCACUGUGGCUGAACAGAAAAUGCUGUUUUUGUCUAAAUUCAGCAACUUUAAACCAAGAUGGCCAGUUGAUCGACUGGCACGAAUCUUUAAAAGAAUGCAUAUUCACAAUAGCUAUUUUCACACAUGAACUCUGAACAAUGUCAGGAGAAUCAGGUAGGGAUAUUGCUCUUACCACACAUGCAGCGCACAACAGGACACUUGUGAAAGUUAUGUGAUUUAUUACAGCAGCAUAAUGAAGUAAGUGUUUGGCAUCUGCUGACUAAACAGCCUCUCAAGCUAGGUGGAUGUUAGGGUGGUGAAGGGUAUAAAACUGCAGAGUGUGAAGCAGGGCAGCAGCAGUGACAUAAAUAGGUCACCAAAUUGGGAGAGUGAAUUCUGUAAUGUCCAAAAAAAAUUAAGAGCUGUAGUGCGUGUUUGAAAAUGCCUUAACUGGAAAGUUUCUCUGCAGCUUUUUUAAAAAUAAAUUCAUUCCACUGAAAUUUGCUCAGCUAUUAUAGAGAUUGUGCCGUGGGACAAUUAUGUCUUGAAGUUAUAUUUACUGUAUCGUUGCAUCAUAUUUUCAGAUUACUAAGUAAAUGUACUUGCUGCUUUGAUUAUGGAGUAAAAUAUUGGCAGAAAAUAUUUGUCACAUUUACAAAGUAAAAUGACAUUAAUGAGCCCUGUCUCACAUUUCAAUUUACUGUUCACUUCUUCAGGAA